rnacentral:rRNA from 1 species
AACCUGGUUGAUCCUGCCAGUAGUCAUAUGCUUGUCUCAAAGAUUAAGCCAUGCAUGUCUAAGUAUAAGCGACUAUACUGUGAAACUGCGAAUGGCUCAUUAAAUCAGUUAUGGUUUAUUUGAUGGUACCUACUACUUGGAUAACCGUAGUAAUUCUAGAGCUAAUACAUGCAGGAAGACCCGACUUCGGAAGGGUUGUAUUUAUUAGAUAAGAAACCAAUCCAGCUUGCUGGUUGCGUGCCGAGUCACAAUAACUGCUCGAAUCGCAUGGCUUCACGCCGGCGAUGGUUCAUUCAAAUUUCUGCCCUAUCAGCUUUCGAUGGUAGGAUCGAGGCCUACCAUGGCGUUUACGGGUAACGGAGAAUUAGGGUUCGAUUCCGGAGAGGGAGCCUGAGAGAUGGCUACCACAUCCAAGGAAGGCAGCAGGCGCGUAAAUUGCCCGAAUCCUGACACAGGGAGGUAGUGACAAGAAAUAACAAUACAGGGCUUCUAAAGUCUUGUAAUUGGAAUGAGUACAAAUUACAUCUCUUCACGA